GUGUGCCAAUAGCAGCCUAGUUUAUGUUUAGUGUUGUUUUGUUUGAUCUGGAGCAUCAGAACUUUUGGUUAUCUUUUUUCUUUAGUCUGAAAGAUACACACCGGAAACAAAAAAGACAGGACAGAUAUUGAUGAACGUCUGACAAGGAUCAGUCAGGUCUUCUUCAGCAGAGACAUGGGUGAAGAUGGAGCCCAUUGAGCUCAUCAUAAUCAGCCACUGCUGAACAACAGGGAGCACCUAAGGGAGGUCCACUGAAGACCCAGUCCAGGUAAUGGAAGAAAAGGAGGAGAUGGUGAGAACACUAGACUUCACUGAGGGAGAGGGGAUAAUCAGAACUGAUAUCCAGACCACCAGGAUAUUUGAGGACACGAGGAAACUGCAGGCCCAGAGAGAGCAUGAGCAGGCUGUGGUGUUUGCAAAGCUGAGAGGGAAAGAUAGACAGAUCGCAGCUCUCACGGAAGAACGAGAGAAGCUCUUGUUUCUUUUUUGGGUGGAGAGGGAACAGCACAGCAGUGAGAGGAGAGCGGUGGAAAGGGAAAGAGCGAGAGCAAAGACAGAGUGGAAGAGGAGGCUGGACGACCGAGAGAGACAUAUCCAGUCUACAGUCUUGGCUGUGGCAGUGAUGAAACUGACACUGGAGAAGAAACUGAACCAGAUUGAGGAAGAGAAAUGGUCGCCUGGUUCUGCAGAUCAGCGUACAAACAGCAGAGAAGAUCACAAGGUUCUUCACAGAAAUGACACAUGGCAGGUAAAGCAAAGACAUCGGAUGCGGAGGCAGGUGGCGAGAGGUUGCAAGGGAGGAUGGCAUUACACAUGCGACGUGAUGGCGGAGUCUACUUGGACCAUAAAACAAGAUUUGAUAAAAGCUCAUGAGCAGGAAGCACUAAGGGUACAGUUGCUAGAGAAACAGAGACAGAGGGA
ensembl:lncRNA